rnacentral:rRNA from 1 species
AGAGUUUGAUCAUGGCUCAGAUUGACGCUGGGCGGAAUGCUUUACACAUGCAAGUCGAACGGUAGAGGGGGCAACCCCUUGAGAGUGGCGAACGGGUGAGUAAUGUAUCGGAACGUGCCCAGUCGUGGGGGAUAACGUAGUGAAAAUUACGCUAAUACCGCAUACGAUCUAUGGAUGAAAGCGGGGGAUCGCAAGACCUCGCGCGAUUGGAGCGGCCGAUAUCAGAUUAGGUAGUUGGUGGGGUAAAGGCUCACCAAGCCAACGAUCUGUAGCUGGUCUGAGAGGACGACCAGCCACACUGGAACUGAGACACGGUCCAGACUCCUACGGGAGGCAGCAGUGGGGAAUUUUGGACAAUGGACGCAAGUCUGAUCCAGCCAUUCCGCGUGCAGGACGAAGGCCUUCGGGUUGUAAACUGCUUUUGUACGGAACGAAAAAGCUCUUAUUAAUACUAGGAGUCCAUGACGGUACCGUAAGAAUAAGCACCGGCUAACUACGUGCCAGCAGCCGCGGUAAUACGUAGGGUGCAAGCGUUAAUCGGAAUUACUGGGCGUAAAGCGUGCGCAGGCGGUUAUAUAAGACAGAUGUGAAAUCCCCGAGCUUAACUUGGGAACUGCAUUUGUGACUGUAUAGCUAGAGUACGGCAGAGGGGGAUGGAAUUCCGCGUGUAGCAGUGAAAUGCGUAGAUAUGCGGAGGAACACCGAUGGCGAAGGCAAUCCCCUGGGCCUGUACUGACGCUCAUGCACGAAAGCGUGGGGAGCAAACAGGAUUAGAUACCCUGGUAGUCCACGCCCUAAACGAUGUCAACUGGUUGUUGGGUCUUCACUGACUCAGUAACGAAGCUAACGCG